rnacentral:snRNA from 1 species
UCCAUUUUAACCAUGCAAUCGAAUAUUAUGAAAUUAGAACAAUAUAGGGAAGAUUAUCAUGGCCUUUUAUGCAGAUGACACAAACAAAUUUAGAAAUUGUCAAAAUUUAC